CCGGGUGACCCUGGGGGAGCCGUGGCAGGACUGCGGGGCUGGUGCUCUCUGGGUGGAUCGAGUUUUGCUUUGGAAUUCCAAACCCUUUCCCUGUGCCGGGUUACGAGGCCAAGACUGCUUUAGCUUGUUUUUUUUUGGUGCUGCAUUAAUGCUUUUUGCUGGUUCUGUGUCAAUUUGCAGCCUGGUUCCUGGUUUCCCCUGGUGCUGGGGAGUGGAGGCGAGUUGUGCUUCCUGCCGGGAGAGAGAAGGGCCUUGGGAAGCUGCUCCAUGAGCCACAGCUGUGCCGAGCCCGGGAGUCUGUCCAGCAGGAUGUGGAGUGCCACCAUGUCCCCGAGGUCACCCUUUCUGCUGUUGGGAGAGCAUGAGGUGGAUGGAGAGGAUCCCCAGGCAUCUGCAGGCAAAAGGGACUGGCACAACUGCGAUUUUCUCCAGCUCUCUUAAGAUGGACUUUCAGGGUACCAUGGGUAAUGUGCCAGCUCUCCUGCUGGAGUUUUUGUCUUCUGCUAUAUUUGAACAUCAAGAGUAAAACUACAGUCAGGACGUGAAUGCAAGAACCUGCCAAGGAACCAAUGGCCAAGAUGAUUGAUGAGUGCAGGACCUGAGAGAACCCCCUUGAAUGACAACCUUAGGUUUAAAAGAUGGCCGUUGCCUUUGAAGGAGAAAAUCUGGAAAGCAGGAAGGAAGAAGAGAAGCCACCUGACUCCUCCCUGAGCCCCAGACAGCCCAUGAACUGCCUUCCUGGGAAUGGUAGGACAGGGUGGACUCUGGAUUGCUCCCUCUGGAUGUGUGCUAAGACUGUUAUACCAGGUUUUAAGAACAGCCUGUAAGCAUUUGCUGCCUUGGCUAGAUGGUGCAAGGGCAGCCUUUAAGCAGCUAAAGCAUUC